rnacentral:ncRNA from 2 species
UAAUUUCUUUCACUCCGAGUCAUGCGGCCUAAGGCGAAAGCUAAGGCGCCUGACCGAUAGGGUGUAACUGGAAACGGUUGCGCCUCCCGUGAUCGGAAAGGAGAGGAACUUGUCGCGUG